rnacentral:lncRNA from 1 species
CGGGGCCAGGGUCUCGGUCCUCUCGCUUGCGGGAUGGCACAAUUGGCUCAGUCCCAGAGUCUUGGCGCGGUUGAGCUCCUCCCGGGCGACAGAGCCUCUCUACUUUUCACGUCGUGCCACCGCAAGAUAGCCAGUUCCUCCCUAUGGCGACCGCCUGGCUCUGCUAGACAAGCUGACUGCGUAUUCCCACCAGGACAUAUUUCAAGCUACCAACAUGUCACCAAAUGCAGAAUUGAGAAUCAAGCCAUGGAUUCUGUUCUCUCCAACCUGUAAGAAGCAGUUCCAGCACUGGAUUAUAAACCCAUCCAGGGAACCUCCAAGGCUGCCCUAUAAUCUCAACAGUUCCUUGGCAUCUUGACGAUGUAACUCGAG